UCACUCAGAGCCUACUCCAAAGCCCAUUGAAGUUAAUGGGAGUCUUUCCAUUGACUUCAGUGGCCUUUGAAUUAGGCUCUACUUGC
rnacentral:pre_miRNA from 1 species